AUCAGAAAAUAAUUGCUUUAUAUACAGUAUAAAGUGAUCAAAUAAUAUAUGUUUGGUACAUGCAAAAAGAGAAAAAUAUGGCUAAAACUUUCGAGUUUGUGUAUGCUAUGAUUAUAUUCAUUCUCUUAUUUCUUGUUGAAAAUAACUUUGCUGCAUAUAUUAUUGAAUGUCAAACCGAUGAUGAUUGUCCAAAAAGUCAAUUGGAAAUGUUUGCAUGGAAGUGUGUUAAAAACGGAUGCCAUUUGUUUGGGAUGUAUGAGGAUGAUGAUGAUCCAUGAGAGUACAUGCACUGAAGAAUGAGUUAUCAAACAACAAAAAGGUUUAUGUGCAAUGAGUCUUAUGCUAGAAUAUUCCAUAGUUUCCAUUGAGUUAUUGUGCUCACACCCAAUAUUUGUAUUUUAAAAAUUAUUUUCAUUUCACAAAUCUUUCAAUUAUGUAUUUGUACUCUAAGAUGUUGGUAAUGUAAUGAAAUAAUACACUAAAAUAAAUAUUAUAAUUAAAUUAUUUCCUUCUCUCUUGA